GUGGGGAAUAUUGGACAAUGGGCGCAAGCCUGAUCCAGCCAUGCCGCGUGAGUGAUGAAGGCCCUAGGGUUGUAAAGCUCUUUCACCGGUGAAGAUAAUGACGGUAACCGGAGAAGAAGCCCCGGCUAACUUCGUGCCAGCAGCCGCGGUAAUACGAAGGGGGCUAGCGUUGUUCGGAAUUACUGGGCGUAAAGCGCACGUAGGCGGACAUUUAAGUCAGGGGUGAAAUCCCAGAGCUCAACUAUGGAACUGCCUUUGAUACUGGGUGUCUUGAGUAUGGAAGAGGUAAGUGGAAUUCCGAGUGUAGAGGUGAAAUUCGUAGAUAUUCGGAGGAACACCAGUGGCGAAGGCGGCUUACUGGUCCAUUACUGACGCUGAGGUGCGAAAGCGUGGGGAGCAAACAGGAUUAGAUACCCUAGUAGUCC
rnacentral:rRNA from 1 species